GUUGUAUAGUCAAGUAAUUAAGUGCAUGUGGUGGAUGCCUUGGCAGUCAGAGGCGAUGAAAGACGUGAUAGCCUGCGAAAAGCUCCGGGGAGGCGGCAAAUAUCCUUUGAUCCGGAGAUGUCUGAAUGGGGGAACCCACCUACUUUAAGGUAGGUAUUGCAACAUGAAUACAUAGUGUUGCAAGGCGAACGAGGGGAAGUGAAACAUCUCAGUACCCUUAGGAAAAGAAAUCAAUUGAGAUUCCCUCAGUAGCGGCGAGCGAACGGGGAUCAGCCCAUUAAGUUAUGUGUGUUUUAGUGGAACGCUCUGGGAAGUGCGAACGUAGAGGGUGAUAUUCCCGUACACGAAAGGGCACACAUAAUGAUGACGAGUAGGGCGAGGCACGUGAAACCUUGUCUGAAUAUGGGGGGACCAUCCUCCAAGGCUAAAUACUCCUGACUGACCGAUAGUGAACCAGUACCGUGAGGGAAAGGCGAAAAGAACCCCUGUGAGGGGAGUGAAAUAGAUCCUGAAACCGCAUGCAUACAAGCAGUGGGAGCACCUUCGUGGUGUGACUGCGUACCUUUUGUAUAAUGGGUCAGCGACUUAUAUUCAGUAGCGAGGUUAACCGUAUAGGGGAGCCGUAGAGAAAUCGAGUCUUAAUAGGGCGUUUAGUUGCUGGGUAUAGACCCGAAACCAGGCGAUCUAUCCAUGAGCAGGUUGAAGGUUGGGUAACACUAACUGGAGGACCGAACCCACUGUCGUUGAAAAGCCAGGGGAUGACUUGUGGAUAGGGGUGAAAGGCUAAUCAAGCCUGGUGAUAGCUGGUUCUCCCCGAAAGCUAUUUAGGUAGCGCCUCGGACGAAUACCAUAGGGGGUAGAGCACUGUUUCGGCUAGGGGGUCAUCCCGACUUACCAAACCGAUGCAAACUCCGAAUACCUAUGAGUACUAUCCGGGAGACAGACUGCGGGUGCUAACGUCCGUAGUCAAGAGGAAAACAAUCCAGACCGCCAGCUAAGGCCCCAAAAUCAUAGUUAAGUGGGAAACGAUGUGGGAAGGCAUAGACAGCUAGGAGGUUGGCUUANNNNNNNNNNNNNNNNNGAAGCAGCCACCCUUUAAAGAAAGCGUAAUAGCUCACUAGUCGAGUCGGCCUGCGCGGAAGAUGUAACGGGGCUAAAACUAUGUGCCGAAGCUGCGGAUGUAUACUUUGUAUACGUGGUAGGGGAGCGUUCUGUAAGCCGAUGAAGGUGUGUUGAGAAGCNNNNNNNNNNNNNNAUGCUGGAGGUAUCAGAAGUGCGAAUGCUGACGUGAGUAACGACAAAACGGGUGAAAAACCCGUUCGCCGAAAGACCAAGGGUUCCAGUCCAACGUUAAUCGGGGCUGGGUGAGUCGACCCCUAAGGCGAGGCCGAAAGGCGUAGUCGAUGGGAAAAUGGUUAAUAUUCCAUUACUUCUGUGUAAUGCGAUGAGAGGACGGAGAAGGCUAAAUCAGCCUGGCGUUGGUUGUCCAGGUGAAAGGAUGUAGGCAUGUAUCUUAGGCAAAUCCGGGGUACUCUAUGCUGAGAUCUGAUAGCAAGCUGUACUUGUACAGCGAAGUGGUUGAUGCCAUGCUUCCAGGAAAAGUCUCUAAGCUUCAGUUACACAGGAAUCGUACCCGAAACCGACACAGGUGGUCAGGUCGAGUAGACCAAGGCGCUUGAGAGAACUCUGCUGAAGGAACUAGGCAAAAUGGUACCGUAACUUCGGGAGAAGGUACGCUGUUGUUGGUGAUGGAACUCGCUUCCUGAGCUGACGACAGCCGCAGAAACCAGGCCGCUGCAACUGUUUAUUAAAAACAUAGCACUCUGCAAACACGAAAGUGGACGUAUAGGGUGUGAUGCCUGCCCGGUGCUGGAAGGUUAAUUGAUGGGGUUAGCGUAAGCGAAGCUCUUGAUCGAAGCCCCAGUAAACGGCGGCCGUAACUAUAACGGUCCUAAGGUAGCGAAAUUCCUUGUCGGGUAAGUUCCGACCUGCACGAAUGGCAUAAUGAUGGCGGCGCUGUCUCCAGCAGAGGCUCAGUGAAAUCGAAAUCGCUGUGAAGAUGCAGUGUACCCGCGGCUAGACGGAAAGACCCCGUGAACCUUUACUGCAGCUUGACACUGAACUUUGACCUUACUUGUGUAGGAUAGGUGGGAGGCUUUGAAGCUGGAACGCUAGUUCCAGUGGAGCCGUCCUUGAAAUACCACCCUGGUAAUGUUGAGGUUCUAACUCUGUCCCGUGAUCCGGGACGAGGACCGUGUCUGGUGGGUAGUUUGACUGGGGCGGUCUCCUCCUAAAGAGUAACGGAGGAGUACGAAGGUGCGCUCAGCGUGGUCGGAAAUCACGCGUAGAGUAUAAAGGCAAAAGCGCGCUUAACUGCGAGACCCACAAGUCGAGCAGGUACGAAAGUAGGUCUUAGUGAUCCGGUGGUUCUGUAUGGAAGGGCCAUCGCUCAACGGAUAAAAGGUACUCUGGGGAUAACAGGCUGAUACCGCCCAAGAGUUCAUAUCGACGGCGGUGUUUGGCACCUCGAUGUCGGCUCAUCUCAUCCUGGGGCUGAAGCAGGUCCCAAGGGUAUGGCUGUUCGCCAUUUAAAGAGGUACGCGAGCUGGGUUUAGAACGUCGUGAGACAGUUCGGUCCCUAUCUACCGUGGGCGCUGGAAAUUUGAGAGGAUCUGCUCCUAGUACGAGAGGACCAGAGUGGACGAACCUCUGGUGUACCGGUUGUGACGCCAGUCGCAUCGCCGGGUAGCUAUGUUCGGAAGGGAUAACCGCUGAAAGCAUCUAAGCGGGAAGCCUACCUCAAGAUAAGAUUUCCCUAGGACUUUAUGUCCUCUAAAGAGCCGUUCGAGACUAGGACGUUGAUAGGUUGGAUGUGGAAGCAUAGUGAUAUGUGAAGCUGACCAAUACUAAUUGCUCGUGAGGCUUGACUAUACAACACCCAAGCAGUUG
rnacentral:rRNA from 1 species